rnacentral:rRNA from 1 species
AGAGUUUGAUCCUGGCUCAGGACGAACGCUGGCGGCGUGCCUAACACAUGCAAGUCGAGCGGGGUCCAUCCAGCAGCAAUGCUGGUGAAGACCUAGCGGCGAACGGGUGAGUAACACGUGAGAAACCUGCCCCGAAGUCCGGGAUAACCCGAGGAAACUCGAGCUAAUACCGGAUGCCCUCUUCUGGUCGCAUGGCCGGAACAGGAAAGAUUCAUCGCUUCGGGAGGGUCUCGCGGCCUAUCAGCUAGUUGGUGGGGUAACGGCCCACCAAGGCAUCGACGGGUAGCUGGUCUGAGAGGACGAUCAGCCACACUGGGACUGAGACACGGCCCAGACUCCUACGGGAGGCAGCAGUGGGGAAUCUUGCGCAAUGGGCGAAAGCCUGACGCAGCAACGCCGCGUGCGGGAUGAAGGCCUUCGGGUUGUAAACCGCUUUCAGCAGGGACGAAAAUGACGGUACCUGCAGAAGAAGCCCCGGCCAACUACGUGCCAGCAGCCGCGGUAACACGUAGGGGGCAAGCGUUGUCCGGAUUUAUUGGGC